rnacentral:tRNA from 12 species
UAUGUAUGCUAUACACCUCGCCGGGAUUGUAGUUCAAUCGGUCAGAGCACCGCCCUGUCAAGGCGGAAGCUGCG